rnacentral:rRNA from 1 species
UACGUAGGGGGCAAGCGUUGUCCGGAAUCAUUGGCGUAAAGCGCGUGUAGGCGGUCCGGUAAGUCCGCUGUGAAAGUCGGGGGCUCAACCCUCGGAUGCCGGUGGAUACUGUCGGGCUUGAGUACGGAAGAGGCGAGUGGAAUUCCUGGUGUAGCGGUGAAAUGCGCAGAUAUCAGGAGGAACACCAAUUGCGAAGGCAGCUCGCUGGGACGUUACUGACGCUGAGACGCGAAAGCGUGGGGAGCAAACAGG